AUGGAAAACAUCGGUCUGUCCAUCCAUCCAUCCAACCCACCGCAGCCCCCCUCUCUCUCUCACGCGCGCGUGAACCCUAGCCGACCCAGACCCCUCCCCGCCUCCGCUCCACUCCCCGAUCCAGAUCCCUCCCCCACCGCCCCGUCCUCCCCUUCCUUCUGCCGCUGCCCCGUCCUCCCCUUUCUUUCGCCGCCCACGUCUCCCCUCUCCCUCCAUGGCUGCAGAUCCACUAAAGCUCCUCCCACUGCCGACACCCAACCCCACCCAACCGGCGACCGUCUCCCCCAACCCCAUCACCACCGUGACCUCCCUCCCUCACUCCCUAGCUCUCCCUCCCUUAGGUCCGUCCGACCCAUGGGCGGAUGAGGGCCGAAGCCCUAGCCCUUCACCCACCCACCAAUGGAUGGAUGGGGACGGGGCAAUGAUGGCGCGGUGGCGGAGACCUCCAUGGCGAACGCGGGCCGGCAGCCGGCCAUCUCCGCCAAGCCCGACCUGCUGGCGGCUCUGCUCACGGGUCGGGCCCCGCCGGCGGAGGAAGGAGAGCACAGCCGCCGCUUGUACAUCGGACGAUCCCGUCUACGAGUUCAUCACCUCCGACACCGUCUACAGCCCGCAGGUGUCGUGCUGGCGACCGGGACCGGUUCGGAGCGCUCGGAUCGAAGGUGGCCGAGCACUGGUACGAGCUCUACAAGAUGGACAAGCAUGGGGCCAACACUGGAAGGAAAUGAUGUGGUUGUAUCAGUUUCAGCAUGAUGAUUCUCAUCAACUUGCACCUGAUCAUAGUCCAGUAAAAUGCAUGACAGUGUUUUGUCUUGGAAAUUUGCAGUUUUUUAGUGUGCAUAGCGUGUUCUGCACAAUCAGAAAGUAAUUUUAAGCCAGUAGUAGGUGUUCUGCAGUUGGUUAUUCAUGGUAGUAAAUUCAGUAGACAACUAGCUAAGCUCAUGGCCUCAUGGCUUGAGCUGGAAUGGGCAUCAUGGGGCAUUAGUCAACUGUGCAACCUAAGAAUGUUUACUGUUAAUGUUGCAUUGUCAUUUACUAAUUCAAUUUGUUUUCUUGCUUUUGGCUGAAUAAACUCUUUGCAGAUAACUUUUGUGGGGGACCGGACGGUGGUGCAGAUGUACAAGUUCCUCAAGAAGCACGCUGCCGUCCCUUUCAACUCUGAUGCAGCCGCGGCUGGCUGUGCUUCUGCCUCGGCCGGCUGUGCUUCUGCCUCGGCUACAAACUGCCUAGGGGCCAGAGAGUUAGCCCAGUCCUGACUAUGGGUCCAGUGAGUCUGGCAUUUGAUCACUAUGGAAGGAGCUCCAUGAUGAAGAAGAAAACACUUGUAGAGCUUGUAACUAUGAUUCCCAUACUUGUAUAUGUUACAGCUUCUAUUACUUGUCAUUUGUAGAGCUUGUACUGAAUCUGGCUAUUGUAAUUAGAAGUAUUAUGUGUUCUUGCUUGCCAAUUUAAAUACUGGUUAUUUUUUUAGUGUCAAAUUGAAAUAUGAAG
rnacentral:rRNA from 1 species